AGACACAUGGAAGGCAGCUGUGUAGGUGAACACUGCAGCUCACACCUGCCCUGUGUCCUCCGUGGGUGACAUCCAGCUGUCCACACCUUAAGCCCUGAUGUCUGAGGGUUCUCUAGAUGUCUGGGGACGGUUCCUAUCCAGCCUGUGCCCCUGUGCUCUGGUGAAUUUCCCAUCCUCCCUUGUGGCGAAAAUGAAGUCAUGUGACAAGCAAAGCACCCCACUGGAACGCUAACCUAGCUUCUUCAGCCUCUGAUGUGGACUGAAGACCAACAACCGUCCAGAAAACUUCCAGCCUGCUGACACCAGGCUAGGGCUACUGAGACCUCCAGGCCCUGGGUACUGCAUCCCAGAGAGCCCAACAUGCAGGCAGUUGUUGGGCAACAGGGCUGUACCAUUUCAACCAAUGUUUGUUGGUUCUCUACAUAGUCCAUAUCCUGAGUUCUACACCCCCAUAUUCAACCAGCUAUGGCUGCAGUCAGCAGCACACCUCGAUCACAAACUGGCAUCUCCCGCCAGCGCCUGACAAACAGGAGAUCAGUGCUGGUUCCCCGAGGCUCGCAGCACCUAGAGAAACCUGAAGUUUUCCAGACCGCCCCGCUGUCAUGGCAACAGCAGGAGAAACAAACAAAGCUCACAUCAAGCGACUGAACACAAAGCCAUACCAUUAUUUUAAUAAUCGGCAAUGGCCACGCGGGGCUGAGAGCAGCAGGCUUUCAGGGCACUGCCGCCAACGUGUCUCUCUCUUGAGAUGUCUUGAAGUGCUCACCGACACGUGUGGGCCUUGGCACUCAGAUCAUGCCUCCAGCUUGGAGUCCCCUCUUGUGUAGACCCUUACUGCCUACAGUGGUCACCAACUCGUGGGCUUGGGAAGCCAGGUGGCCAGAUGGUUAGAGGCUCCAGCCUCAGGCCAAGCAGCCCUGGGUGCAAAUCCAAACCCUGAACCUUCCAAGCUGGUGAUGGAAGAAAUGGCAGUACUGGUACAAUUACAUCUCCCUGCUGAACCUCUGUUUACAUGGUGAAGAUCUACUUGGGGAGUCAUUCAAAUGUUAACCAGGCUUUAUUGAAAACCUGCUGGAGCUUG
ensembl:lincRNA 1700034G24Rik RIKEN cDNA 1700034G24 gene